rnacentral:rRNA from 1 species
GCAAGUCGAGCGCAGUCCUUCGGGACCGAGCGGCGGACGGGUUAGUAACGCGUGGGAAUGUACCCUUCUCUAAGGAAUAGCCUCGGGAAACUGAGAGUAAUACCUUAUACGCCCUUCGGGGGAAAGAUUUAUCGGUGAAGGAUUAGCCCGCGUCUGAUUAGAUAGUUGGUGGGGUAAUGGCCUACCAAGUCUACGAUCAGUAGCUGGUUUGAGAGGAUGAUC